GUGGGGAAUAUUGGGCAAUGGGGGCAACCCUGACCCAGCGACGCCGCGUGAGGGAAGAAGGCCUUAGGGUCGUAAACCUCUGUUGUGUGGGAAGAAGGAAGUGACGGUACCACACGAGGAAGUCCCGGCUAACUACGUGCCAGCAGCCGCGGUAAUACGUAGGGGACGAGCGUUGUCCGGAAUUACUGGGCGUAAAGGGCGCGUAGGCGGUCAUUUAAGUCAGCUGUGAAAUGGUCCGGCUCAACCGGAUCAUGCGGUUGAAACUGGAUGACUGGAGUGCUGGAGAGGCAAGUGGAAUUCCCAGUGUAGCGGUGAAAUGCGUAGAUAUUGGGAAGAACACCGGUGGCGAAGGCGACUUUCUGGACGAUGUCUGACGCUGAGGCGCGAAAGCUAGGGGAGCGAACGGGAUUAGAUACCCUGGUAGUCC
rnacentral:rRNA from 1 species